rnacentral:rRNA from 1 species
GGCGGCGUGCCGUAAUACAUGCAAGUCGAGCGCAGGAAACAGUAGAUCCUUCGGGUGACGCUUGUGGAAUGAGCGGCGGACGGGUGAGUAACACGUGGGCAACCUACCUUGUAGACUGGGAUAACUCCGGGAAACCGGAGCUAAUACGGGAUGAUCAUUUGAAUCGCAUGAUUGAAAUGUAAAAGUGGGGAGUAAUCCUCACACUAUGAGAUGGGCCCGCGGCGCAUUAGCUAGUUGGUAAGGUAAUGGCUUACCAAGGCAACGAUGCGUAGCCGACCUGAGAGGGUGAUCGGCCACACUGGAACUGAGACACGGUCCAGACUCCUACGGGAGGCAGCAGUAGGGAAUCAUCCGCAAUGGGCGAAAGCCUGACGGUGCAACGCCGCGUGAACGAUGAAGGUUUUCGGAUCGUAAAGUUCUGUUAUGAGGGAAGAACAAGUGCCGUUCGAAUAGGGCGGCACCUUGACGGUACCUCACGAGAAAGCCCCCGGCUAACUACGUG